GGGUGAGUAACACGUGGAUAACCUACCUAUAAGACUGGGAUAACUUCGGGAAACCGGAGCUAAUACCGGAUAAUAUUUUGAACCGCAUGGUUCAAAAGUGAAAGACGGUCUUGCUGUCACUUAUAGAUGGAUCCGCGCUGCAUUAGCUAGUUGGUAAGGUAACGGCUUACCAAGGCAACGAUGCAUAGCCGACCUGAGAGGGUGAUCGGCCACACUGUAACUGAGACACGGUCCAG
rnacentral:rRNA from 1 species